ACUAAAUAGGCUUUUGAGCCUCACAAGACUUUGAGAUUUUAUGGAUAUGAAACCUGCUAUCAUUUAGCAUCCUGCCUCUGGGAAUAGGACAUACCUCUUCCCCUUCUGCCAUGAUUAUAAGUUUCCUGAGUCCUUCCCAGCCAUGCAGAACUACAUGGAUUCUCACUAUGACACCCAGGCUGGAGUGCAGUGGCACAAUCAUAGCUGACUACAGCCUCGAAUUUCUGGGCUCAAGCAAGGCUUUCAUCUCAACCUCCCCAGGAGCUGGGAUUACAGAUGGUGUCAGAAGCGGGGUUCAAAGUAGAGCUUUAAUGACCCCCAGAAGUGCUGAGUGAACAAGCAAGGUACCUGCAAGGACCCACUUGUGUCCUUUGAUCUCUCAGAGCAGUGGAUCUGCUUGCUUCCCCUUUGCCUUCUGCCAUGAUUGUAAGUUUCCUGAGGCCUCCUACAUCAUGCCUCCUGUAUAGCCUGCAGAACUUAUUUACACACAGAUGCUCCAUGAUGGGUCACAUCCAAACUUAUCAUAAAGUCAAAAAAUUGUAAGUCAGACUAUCACAAGUCAGAAACCAUCUGUAUGUACAUUCUUGUGUCUAGUCACUUGUGUGGGAAUGAAGGAGGGAGGAGGGAAGAAGGAGGAGAGGUGUAUCUGGUGUAGAUAGUUUAAAUUCCAGAUUUCCCCUCAAGAGGAAAUUUUGGUCUUCAAAUUAUAAUUCUGUGGUUUUCCUGUUGUCUGCUGACAAGUUUUUAACUAAUGUAGAAUCAAGGGAUUUUACGCUACAGAAAGUUUAUUCCUAAGAUGAGUGUCUCGAUCUAAUCUUAUUUCAUAGUUGUUACAUCUGUGUAUGAAAUGUAUCAUUAUUUAUGUAUGUUUUCAACUCAUAUUUAUUCUUAAAUAUAUUUAGCCUUAUCCCAAACAAUAAUAAA
ensembl:lncRNA novel transcript